GUGAAGUCUUGUAUCUCAGUCUUGGAGCUGGGAUGUGGAAAUUUGUCCUUCCACCUCUUCUCUGAAAACUUCAUUUGGCAAGAGAUCAUUGUAAAAAUCUUUGGAGUUCAAAUACUUCUACAGAAUUCUGCACUGAAGAUCAGUUUCAGAUUGUAACUGGUGUAUCACUGAAAUUGGGAGUUGGAUGUGGAAGGCAGCAAUGCUGUUCUGCUCUGUAUUUGUGGAUAUGUCUGAGCAAACGACUUCAGGGCUUUGGUCAUCCCAAAGAACAGCACUUCCUUGUGCUCUGUCUCCUUGCAGUCCAGAGUAAUAACCAGGUUUCUGAAGAUGUUCAGACACAUGCAAAGUUUAAAAUUAACUCCAAAAAAUUUUGGGUUUUUUCCUUUUUCCAUUUACUUUAUCUCUUCCCUUUAAUUAAAUAAGCCUGCCACCUCACAUGCCAUGGUCACGAUCUGAAACAUUUCGAUAAAGAUGUGUAAAAUGAUGUUAAAUUUUUGGCAUCCCUCUCAGGACUGAAACUGAAGCUGGAUCACAGGAAGAGAGACUAUGUCAUUGGGACCAACCAUUCAAUCAUUUCUGUUCUGGGAGAGUUUGAAACAUUGGGCACUGAAAUAAAAAAACGUCAUCAUAAAUUUUAUGGCUUUUGCUGAAACACUUAUGAUUUGAUGGAUGACAGCUAGAGCAACUGACUCCACAAUUCAGAGAGGACAAAAUAAUAAAAUUGCCAGAAACCUUCCUAAAAUACUCUGCCUGUGACAUAUAAGGAAGCAUACUGCAGUAUGGGCUGGCUCUGCUGGCAUUUGCUUUAAAUGACCGGCAUCAUAUCAGUGACCCUUCCAUCCCAGACUAAAGAGUAGAUGUUCAGAGUGACCUCUGUUAUCCAUUUAAUGCACUGUGCCUACACUGUCCUGUUUUUCUGAGAGCUGCCAAUGGAUACAAAUGAGGCAUAAACUUUGUGUUUUCCUUUAGAGAUAAUUUUGCCUUUCUAGAAAUUAAUUAUACAUUUACAUAAGAAGUAGCAUUCGAGACAAAUGUAUGUCUGCUGGACUAGUGAAUCCCAGAAAAAUGGUUCACUAAAUCUAAAGAUAGAUGACUAAAAUAUAUUAUGCAGGUCAUGUCUGAGAAGUAUUCAUCUCCUUUAAUUACAAAAGAGUAUUUAUCUCCCUUAAUUACAAAAGAAGUCUAGAUGACCUCAUGGGUUGUAUAUUAUAUAUAUCAACUUUCUGGCAAGAUGAAUCCCACCUGUACUGGCAGUGUUAUCAUGCAAUCUUCCAUUUGUUUGUGCCAAAUUACCAAGUACAGACUCUGUGCUGCAUAUGUGGCACUUGGGGAGAGAAAAGCUUACCCUGGAGGCAGGGUUCAACACAUAUAGGGUCUUGAGAGACAUUGCAACUCCCAGGAAUGACCAGGUAGAGUUCAGUUAUUCCACAGGAGGCCCCUUUCCCAGCCUGGGACUCUGGAGAUGCUACAUGAACAGGUAUAGACUGGCUGCUGCUUGAGGAGAACCUGACCAAAGGUCUUUGGCUCAAGGGCAACACACUUCUGUGUGCUGAGCACCUCCAUGGGUUGUCUGCUGGGACCUUUCUCAAUGCCAGCUGCCAGCAUCCCUCUGGGAGUGAGGAGUGCUUUGCAAAGUGGCAUGCAAGGAGAGAGGCAUGUGAAGAAAGAUGGAGAAAGAGGCUCUGGUAAAUCAUUAAAACACAUCAUUCUUCAUGCUGUAGAUCAACACACUUUCUGCUUUCUUUUUUGGUCUCCUACUACAGAUGUUUAACUUGUGUCAUGAGUGAAUAUUCUAGUCUUAAACUAAUAAAGUUUUCUAUGAAGGAGUGGUUUGAAUUUGCAGUAAUUCAAAUUUUAUUUUAAAAUUUUAUUUAGGAGGGCAUAAUUUGUAUGUAUAGUACUAUAUUUAUAGUAUUUUAAUUUGUUUCAUAAGCAUAUUUUGGGUCAUGAAGGAUGUUUAUGACAUACAUGUAUUAGUUUCAAGUACCUUUCUUCUUGAAAUCCUUUGUGUUUUGGGACACAGCCAGACAGGAUGACAGAAUGUUGGGUCGAUAGAACAUUUUAUCCUUGUAGGAAAAUUAAACAUUCCUGUCUAAUUUAAAAAAGGGAUUGCCUAAAACUUUAUAUGCUUUCAGGGUCCUCUUCCUGUUCAUUAGGAACAGUUCUGUAUUCUUUUGCAAUCAGCUCUCAUCAUUUAUUGUGUCAUUUCAAUUGUAAGUGGUUAAAAAAUGCCUGAAAAAGCUCUGUGGACAUCUAGUGUGUUAAUUGGAUGGGGAAGAAGAAGAUGUUCUUGUAAUGAGGUAUUAAAUGCAGUAUAAAAAAGCUCUGGACAAGACACUGCAGUUUACUGGCUGAUGUAUGGUUGAUUCAAUAUUGAAUGAGGAGCAAGAAUUCCUUUCAAACAAUGGUUGUCUUUUGUGUUGUGUUUUUUUUUAAUAACACUGCUGGGAAAUUUAGGAAAAAAUAAGUUCAUUUAAUUAAAAAAAAAGAUAAGACUAGUAUCCUCAGAAAAAAAAAUUUCUGAAAUUGAAUUUAUCUCACCCUCCUUCAGGCUAAUGAAUAAUAACACAUUCUGCUGACAGAAGGUAACUUUAGGAAUAUGAUAUCAUCACAGCUAAAUCUUACUGAUUGAUCUCAUGCAGUUAGCAGGA